UCCGCUCGGGGGCGUCAGCACAGUUUAUGCUGUCUAGCAUACUAGCGGGAAUUUUCCCUUCUCCCUGCAACAUCAUCCCUGUUUUGGGGCCCUUCUUCAUCCCCCUAUUCAUUAAAGGGUGCGAAAAGCUAACGUACAGAGUACCGUGUUCCGUUUGAUUCACUCCAUCGCCCAUUGGAAACUAGAGUGAGCACAUUACAUGUUUUUUUCUCUGCUUCCACCAUUUGGCAGGCUCGCGAACGCAUUCACUAAAGCCGAUGAUCGUGUUACUACGGUGCAUUGCAUUAUCGGUGCAACACAAGCGUUUGUUACAUGCGGGAAGCAACAAAAAAAAAAGUCCGUCUGGGGGAAGGUUGCGGUGCAAAAAUAGUAAUUGUGAAAGUAUGGCAGCAAAUUGUGUUACAUGUUCUCUAUCAAUCAUUUGUUGGGUUGUAAGUAAGGUUAAACUUUUCUUAUGUAUUAUUCAACACGAACAAAAAAACAUCCCUUCUUCUAUAUAAUAACUAUAAUGAGAUAACUUUCUAGGUAUUUGGAAGGUUUAAUUUAGCAUUUGAGGUAAAUAAUUGCUAGAAGUUACUAACAACUGUUAGUAGCUGAGAUGUGUUACUUCAACUUAAAAUCUCAUUCCCAUUCUUGAACAGUUUGUUUAUCAGAUUCAGUUCAAUAUUCUUAAGGCCUUUUGAUCGUAGAUUUUGCAGAUUGUAUAUCUUCCCGUUAAUUACCUAAAAAUCAGUCCCUAUUGCAGUUGGGAAAUUCAAAAUCCUCGGUCAAAGUUUCCAUAAUUUUGGGUGGACCAAAACAACACACCAUCAUUCGGUCAUUUGGCUGACACACAUGGCCAGUUGCGUAAAAGUGCACAACAUCUACACCGACUAUCUGCAAGUAUUUGUGUGUUUGUGUGUGUGUGGUAUUGCCCAUUUGUUUUUGGGGUGUUGGUUGAGUUUCCACUAUUCCAUUUUUUUCCUUUCCUUCGAGUGCAUCUCAUACCGUGUGCAACUCCCGAUUGCACAUUAGAUCAUCGCUAUUGCUCGCGAUCGUUCUACGCUCGAUCUACACCGCGAGACAACGUCCCGCGCGGUUGUCCGUUCGGGUGACGGGACGUGGGAAUGCAAGCGCUCUAAAAACCUCAAACACAAACUGUUACCACCUCGCAACUCCCACCUCUCUUUGCUUCACUCUCUUCAUGUUGCAACAUUUGCACUACCGCACCGAAACAGAACACACACUUGGACGGAUUUUCCCUGAACGCAACAGAACACGGGGAUGGUAUAGAAAUAGGAACGACAAGAUCGAAACUGGGGGACAGUUUUGGGAAUGCAUUGUCUGAUGCCCUUCCCCCCCCUUCCACCCUCGCGAAGUGCAAUAGCCGCGUUACGCAUAGCAUGCCACACCGUUGGCGUGGUGAGCAUAGAUUUGCCGCUAAGCACGGAUCGAACGCAACGGAACAAAACCACCGCAAAGCGAAGGAAGAAGGGCAGUGCAAAUGAAAAUGCACGGAUCGAAACGGGAAAGCGAUAGAAAUAGACAAGCAAGAGCAACAAAGAGAGAGAGAUAGAGAGAGAAAAGCCACGCGUGUACUGUUAAGUUUCUAACUGCGCUUGGAGGCAAAACAAAAGAAAAUGGUAACACAGCGCGCAAUCGGCGUUGUUAUAGGCAGUCGAAAGGUGCAAAUGAGCGGAAUUGGGUAAAAUAUGUUAAUAAUUGCAUUUAAACAACUCUCUGCUAUGGGUCUCCGCCUAUCCGCAGCACACCUACAGCCCCCAAACCCCUUUUUUUCCUGUCGAGGGAAUUGAAGGUAUUCUAUCGAAAUUAAUGUUCCAGUUACACGGGAAUGUUUGCGAGAGGGAUGAAGGGGAAGUUGGUGGUGAAAUGAAGGAAAGCAGGCAGCAACACCAUGUCCAGAUGUGGCGGGAUAUCAGCUAGUCUAAUGAACCGUUGCUACUGGAUUUCUCCACAUGAUUUUUUUUUCGCAUACAAUUAUGAUUAUUACCAACGCUCUCAACGCUAUCUGCGUCUGCAAUUCAUCGCCAUGGGAGGAUAGAUCGGUUUUGUUAUCAUUAACUUUGUCUGCUGGUUCGAUUUUUAAUACAGAUCGAUCUGUUUCCAUUUGCGUCUAAAUUUGCACCUCUCAUUACGAAAAUCAGUACAGAGCAAUGGAGAGGAAAUUUUUACCAUUUCUAGACUCUUUUCAAGUUGAAGUAGAAUGUGUAGCAAUAGAUGUGGAAUCUUUUCAACUUUCUUCAGAACCUUUCCAAGAGGAAAUUGGUUAUGUCGAAAGCUUUUUCAACCCCUUUUUAAAAGCUUUCCAAUAUGGCGGAUGUGUCAGUUGAGAAAGCUUCCUACAGAAUCAACUCAAUAACCAAGAAUUCAUCUUGAGCAAUAGGAAGAAAUUGAACAAGACUUAAAUUUGCAAAAAAAAAACCCAUUUUGAUUACAAAUAAUCAUACUGAAACGUGCAAAUAGCGCUUGAAAACCCUGUAUCCAACAGUUUGCCGCUAAAGCUUCAUUUAGUGUUGCGUCUGCGGAAUGUCAAAGCUAGGGUGUGUUUUGAUUUUGCAUGAUGCAUUUUAAUGAACACACCGAGAACGAAUAACAAUUACGCUACGGCACAAAAGAGCAACAAAAAAAAACACACAAUCUUAUCAACACUCAUUAAGAUUAUUUGUUCGAUUUACUUCAUCUCACCAGUACAAUCGAUUGUACCACACGGUGUGUAAGUACAUUUCCACUGCAAAACGGAUCGCGUUUUUAUCUCGCAGACAAAAUAGUCCGCAAAGAAGCGUAACGCGAUACUCGGAAUAAGCAAAACAGAGCUUUAUGUAUGUGCACCACAUUUUCCACCCUUAUGGACGAGUGAGCGAAUGAUCGCAUAAGCAUUUUCCAUCCAACCUGUAACACAACGCAGCGGAAUGGUUUUCCCCGAAUUAAAGGAGAAAAGUCUUUGGGAAAUGCAUGAGCAACAGCAAAAAAACCAACAACAAAAAACAUGUACAACGACGACACGCAAAUGAAAAGCAAAUCACACUCGUUUGCCUUUUCCCGCCAUCGGAAACUUUCACUCGGGUGGUAUUUUCCACGCCUCGUUCGUCUGCCCUCACGCCUUCCGGCAAGGGUGACACCGCACCAUCGCUGUUUCACGGUGGGUGAGUGUCGAACCAAUUACGACCGGGGAAGGGGGGUAAACGUGGGAAGAGGGAAUGAAUGAGUUCCACCAACGGCACGAGAGAAGACACUCUUAAAAUGGCCGAGGGUGGAAAAACGGACGACGGAACAGGGUGUGGGAGGGUAAGAAUUUUCCGACCCCACCGUAAGUGCGCGUUGCGCCGUUUUUGUAUUAUUUUUAGUCGCGUUUAUCCUUCACACGGAAUGUUUCGCUGUGUGCUGGGUGUGCUUCUAUUUUGUCCGAGUACGAGCUUCGUGUGUCUUCAUCGUUGUCAGGCGGAGAAGAGAGGGUAUGUUUUUUUUCUUUAAAUUCAAAACACGAAAUGAUGUGAUAUUGUUCAAAUAAUUAAACAGACAUAAUAAUUUCGAAGAAAAGUUCGUGUCUUUUACACUCACACUCGCAAGCUAGGGCGUCGUGUAACGACCACUCGAAGCACCGUCGAUCACGUGGAUCACAGACAGUUCGGCGCAUCUAGUUCGAUGUUCGCGAUGGGUCCAAAAAUUCUGACCACCGGACCAAACGCGUUUGAGUGACCACCGAAACCAUGAGGUCCGCGAGAGUGGAUUGUGGAUACAGCGUGCACCACAAAAAGGACAGACGAGAGCAGAUUCUUUCACGAAUUCGAAUUUGGCCGCUCGCGCUGAUCGUGCGUCCCGCCGCACCCAUUCGGGCCCUUUUGCUGCUGUUGGAUGCGGGAGGCAAAGGGACGACAAUGGCAUCUCAUUCGCGCGGUCCGCACACACAGACACGGAAUCUUUACCCUGUAGCCCUGUUUCUCACUUGUUCGCCGUACCAAACGUAUCGAUAGAUGGAGAUAAAUCCGUUGUUCCACGAAAAGAUGAAGGGUGAGAGAGAGAGCGUGUGAGAGAGAGCGAAAAAGCGAGAGAGAUUGUAUGCAACAAAAUAGAGAGGGAGCUAGGAGUUGGCUAUUUAGUACGCAUGUAUGCGCGCACUUGAAAGCUAUUUACCCGUUAGUGCGCGGCCAGGCCAUUUCAGUGCUUUUCCACUUGGCACCCCGGCAAGGUGUGUGCCCGUACACGCUCCCACAUUAAACACCAAUCCGAUCCCACUAUCCCCAACCCCACCCUUCCCACCCUUAAUCGCUGUCCCGCAACACACACAUACACACAAACACACUGCAAAGGCAUGGGGCACCUGUAGAGGGUUGCGCACACACCCACCCCAAAACUGAAAGCGGUUUGGCGAUGGCUCAGCUGUUGUGUGCGCGCGUUCCCAUCCGUCAGUUGGUCGCGAUCUCUGCUGGGAUGCGCUCGUCGCUAUCGUUGGCUGCAACGUGUACCCGGUCUAGUCUAGCCGGAUUGUUCCCCAUUACCGCCCCCUCUCCUCCCCCUCCCCGGGGGAAAACGGGGUGAUAAAUUGGCGGCUUGGACUUGGGAUACGUAAAACACCCUAACAACCCCUACGGACUACGAGCUGGAUUGCGGGAUGGAUGUAACGACAGCACGGCAUGGUGUCCGGGGCAGCAUCAGUCUUCUCUACCGUACCAGGAAGCAGUUUGAUUUUCGUUUCGCCGUUUCCAACCCGCCCCAACGGAGAGGAACAUCAAUUACGUGCAGCACAAUGCAUGAUCGACGUGCCCUCUGGUGCUAAAGAGUGCAAUUGCGAAGAUCCGCAACCCCGAACACCACACCCCCCAACUUUGCGACUAUUCUGUGCAUGAGUGUGUUUGUGCGCGUGUAUGUGAGAGUGUUUUAUUGUGACUCUGUUCGAUUGUGGCAGACGAGUGUCACGCUAGAAACUGUUCACAAAAAACGGCACCGAAUUCGGGACAGUUUCGCUGUGGGAUGUGGAAAUCUUCAUUUCCUUAGUACCAUUACGACGCACUGUUAGUACAUCGGUGCAGUUUGUGUGCGGGCUAGUGUGCAGGGUGUGAACAUUUCGGAAUUUGAGGAUUUUUGAUUGCGUGUGCCGUUGUGAUCUUGGACUGGAAAGUACCCAAAAACCUGGUUUGAAACAAUCGGAAUUGCGAGCGUUUUUGGGGGGCACACACACAACAAGGACAACACGCGGACAAUCGGGAACGGAAGCGGCCACUGUUGAAGCGUUUUUUUCUGUUUUGUUUCCUCUUUUUAAGCGCUGACGUGUUGGAUGCUUUCGUCCUCUGCCGCUUUGUUGUUGUGGUGCUCCCGAAGAAGAUGAAACCAUUAUGCACACUAGAAAGACGUGCGAAAGAUAUGUUCUGUGACACUAAUAUGGACAAACGCGUUCACAUCGAAAGUCGUCGUCAAACGUCAUCGUCAGCAUCAGCAGAGUUCGUUUGCUAUUGGUAGUAGUAGUAGUCAGCGUAGUCAGUUAGACCAUCGUUUCCCAAUAAUGCCGGUGGGGUGUGAAAUCGUGCAUCUGGACAUUAUCCACUAAGAGUAGAACACACAAACACACAGAGACAGGGACACAGAAACCCAACAACAUGAUGUUGUGAAUGUCCCCUGAUCUUGAUCUUCGCGAUCAUGCGUACUAAAGCUAGGGAAGAUAGAAACGUGUCCCAUCCGGCAGGCCUUCUCACAGUUGAUGAUAUAACAUCGUCUUACUGUCCACUCGUGGCAACGUGGACUACAAGCGAGAAAACAAAAAAACAAACUACUUGGAGCUCUUUUCUGUCGAUUCAACAAUUUUACACAAUCGUCACAACAAGUUUACUCUUGUGUGUUUGUGUGUUUGUGUGUAUUUCUUAUCGCUUUCUCCACCACACAGUGUCGCACCACACACUCGGGGAUUCGGAUUUGUCUCGCGUUCCGACUACCACAACAUCCGAUACGCGGCAUUUGCCUUAUUCCGACGUGUCAACUUGUCGGUGCGGUGGUGCAUUUAUAUGCGCGCUCGUUGCAUCUUGUUGGACGAUGCAACUGUGUGCACAUACACACAUACAAAGAGUGAUAACACCUCAUUGUAAGAGGAAUGGAAAAAAAACUUUUGAAUUUCGGUGGACGUCAAGGCGUAGUUGACACUUAUCACCCAUUUACUACAGACAUUGGAAAGUAUUAUAAAGCUUAAUUGUUGGAAGGAAAAAUUCCCUCAAGUAGUAGAAAAACUACCGUAAGGAAGGAAGAGAGAGGGAGCGACUCACCGUUUUGGACAGUUGAUGCUCAUUUUCACUGCUUCACUGUGCAGCAGUAGCAACGGGGAAGAACUCAACGAAGCAAGGGGAAAAUUAGGUCGGUGAAAAUUGUACCCAUGUGCGUGUGCGGCUGUGUGUGCAUUUUUGUAUGAAAAAAAAAAACGAUCGUACGGUGGUUUUGUUUUUGGAUCUUUCGGGUAAACCGCUGCUACUGCUGGUUGCUAGUAAGAAAACGCGUUACAGCAAAUGAGCGGUACGUGGGAACGCAAGGGAUUCGUCGCAACAAGGCCGACUUGCCGGAGAAUGGUUGCGCCGUAUGGUCAGGAGGAGGCCACGUUUGGAGAGGUGCGUGUCAUCGUCGCCAGAUGACGGUUGAUCGUCGUCCAUGUUUGACCAACCGUUUCAUCAGCGGGUACCGUUCGCGUGGAACAAUAUACACUCCCCUUGCCUCCUCAUCUCCUCCUCACUGCUCUUCCACGCACGGGGACACGUGAGAUAUGACGAACGUUAGCUGGCAAAAACGGCAAGCAGCGUUACAACUUCUCGGAUCACGUCCCGGCAUGUGUGCGUGUGUGUGCUGUUUAUUUUCUCCUUAAACGUGUCAUUUCCGUAAGAGUGGCCUCACAAAGCACUACUUCACAGUUUGAAGUUAUAGUUGUGGGGCUAUAACUCGUCACCACAAACACACAGUUCGAAACGCACAGAUAGCUUGUUGAGAUAGUUUUUUUUUCCUAAGAGUUUGCUACGGUGUAAAGGUUCAGCUUCUAGAACCACUUAACCCAGAAUCAGCUCUGCCGGAUCAGCUAGCACGAUAGUUAGCGCAGUAGCUCUAAUUGAGCUCGCAAACCAAUAUCCGCGCAAGGGAAAGGUUACAGAAGUAAACGUUUUGAAGAACACACACACCAGAUCUCUAAGCUGUUGUACAUGUUGUAGUUGAAUAUCUGAAUGCCAAACUGAAUGCAAACAACAUUUUGAAAUCAUUCAUGAAACUGGUGCAAAACUAAGGCUAAUCAAAUAAUUACACCAUUUCUCCUCAAUAUUCUUCCAACUAGGCCGGGUGAGAAGCGCUCAGGAAAAGCAAACGCAAUGGAUCUUAUUACAUCAGAACCGUUCAAGGUCCCAUCAACUUUGACUCUGUGUGUGUGCGAGUGUAUGCAAGGGCUUUUGUCUAAAUAAAAACCCUACAGCACCACCACGCGGAUAAGGUUAUAUCAACGUACGUGUGCUCAGGUUUGGGGAGCAGUCAGGAAAUAGGUAUGCGCAAAAGAACAACGCAGCCUUCACAAACGGGCAGGCAAUGCAACGGGCCGUGUACACGCCGGUGCAAAAAUUGUGCAAUAGCAAAUGAAGGUCAGUAUGUUGCAGUUGCAGUCGGCAGACGUCGGCUGCCACUUGCGCUGCUGCGAGUGUGUGUCUGUCAGCGAUAUGCCAACCAGUCGCGUUGGUGUAGCUGAGUAGCUGGCAAAUAGUUGGUGGUACAACAACAAAAAAAAACAAAAUCACAUUUGAACAGCACACACAAACACAAAAAAAAUGGACAGAAAGACCCCCAGAUCCACCUAACAUCCGGCCCAGGAAUAUAAGGGUUAGGUGGGCAGUUGUUGCAGUUGGGGAGGUAGAACGUGUUGUAGAACAGCGUUCUGAUAGCCUGGUGGCCAUUUUUAUUGCAAUACAAACGGUGUCUGAGUUGGACGAGAAACUAGUAGAAUAUAUUGUAACAAGCAGAGAGGUUUUUUCCUGAUGUGGUUUUUUUUGUUGUUGCUACUCAUCACUCUAGCCUCUGUUCGGAAAUGUAUGCAAAAGACCUUCCACAUUUUAGCUGCAGCGUUUAGACCAACUCCCCAAAUUGAAGCAGUGCACGAAAAAUGUGCCAUACUGUACGGGAAUGGGGAGUGGGUGGGUUCAUGUAUGCCUGCCACCUCACUGUACGAUCGAUCUGCAUAUAGGUUAGGAAUGGAACGGCUUCAAUCCCCGGGCACAACCCUCGCAUUAGGACGGUAACAGUGAUCGACGACCGACGUCGAACCAAUGUCGGAAGCCUGUCAUCACGAACCAUUCGGGAAAGUGGGAAGUCACACAGUGUGUACGUGUGUGUGGGGAGGUCAUAUGGAGUGGGAAGACACAACCUUGCACAAAGUCGUCCUAAAUGUUUGAAUGCACCACCGAAGAGUGGUCGGAAGAAACGGUGGGCGAAAGGUACCGGUUGUGUGGGGCGGGAAGGGAACACCUACAACAUCAGGUUGAGAACGGUACGAUGACAACCGAACGGUGCUUUAGUGCUUGUGUGCCAAAAUAAGCCGACGGCCAUGCAAAACCGGGACAGCUCUAGAACACACUUCUCGUACGCUAUGUUGUAUUGUUUUUUUUUGUUGCUGCGUGCCGUAAAAUGCAUUGUGCAUUAUGCAAGGUGCAAGAAUUUUAUUGCACUGACCAUGGUGACAUGGUAUUCGUUUUUUCCCCUUCAUUUAAAACCCAAAAAAUCCGGACAUCAUAAGAAAUUCGAGAAAUGAUUAUUCUUAUUGAACAAGCAUCUCAUCGCCUUGUUCAAUGUUUCCGGGCGCAGAAUUAGCUGUACAAGAGUUUAAAUCCAAGAAUAAGGACGGGACAGACAAAAGUCUGCGAUCCACUUUUGUCGGUUUUGUGCUUUGGCAAACGUCCCACCGUUUAAUGUGUUCGCUGCCCAGCGGACGUCCAUUUGUCCUUUUUUUUUGUUGCUCAAUGACGCAUCAUGACCUUUUUGGCGCACGUGUAUGCAUUUGUAUGUAUAUCUUCGAGUGAAUUCCUUCGUCAUCACAUAUCCUUCAAGUGUUAUUGGCAAAUGUUAAAAGUGUUUGCAGAAGCCCAAGAUUUUACAUCCCCCCCAAACGCCACCGCUGGCAAUCAAAUCCUUUUGUUCGUUCGUUAUAUAAAGCUUAGUUUAAAUGUGUCCUCGCCCAUUGGCACACAUGCCACAGAUGCUUGUCUGGCAAAGCAGCAUUAAAAUGAGAACAAACCCAACAGUGCCAAGUGUCUCACAUCGCGUAAUGUGACCACAGUUUGCAACUCAUUUGACUCAUAGUUUUGGCUUCUUCAAAGACGUCAGACGGUGAAGAAAAUAAGGACGCCAUUUCCCAACAAAAAAAUGGCUAAUCAUGCUUGAAAUCGGUUGUCUUAUCGAGUUUACAGCACCCGACAAUGACCGGUCUUAUCGCACAACGGCUGGGUGUACGAAUUUCAAAGGUCGUCACCUAGAUUUUAUCGUGACGCCUCAUCGAAACUUUUUUUACGAAGACGGUCCUGCGAGGGGAAUUUGCAAGAAUGUAACCAUGAGCCAGGUACCAUGCAACAGAUAAACGCGGCACCCCCUACGGUAAAGAGGUGCAAACUGAGCCGUUACGUGGUAUGAUAAGAUAAGACACAACUGAUCAACUUUGCUGUACAUAGUAUACAGUCCAACUGUAGGCUAUUCUCCAAUAUUUCCUACGAAUGGUUGGAACAAGGCACGAACACAAAACGAAACCGGACCUCCAAUCUGGAUUGAGCUGGAUGAUGCCGUUUUUUUUGGGAGAAUGUUGAGGAUAGACUUGUUGCAUGCCGGCCACUGUGACUGGAACAGUGUGAGGUUAUCGCGGGUAUAUAUUAAAUAAUGGACCUGUGUCGGGCAGCUAGUGUGUCACGCCGCCGUUAUCGCGCAGUGAGACGACCCAUUAUCUGUACCCAAGCAGGAAAACAAUGGAGUUCGAACGCGUGGCGAUGGUAACGGGCCUCAAAUUGUGUACGAUGGCGAUGCACAUGGGACGGGCACUUGCCGCCAUUCUAAUCAACCUCGAACAUGUGUGACAUAUACGAACGAACAGGGUGAUAGAAGUUGUAUGGAGAUCUGCGGAACGUGAAGAACGGAACUACCGUUACCGUACAGUACAACCGAUCGAGGUCUGGUGUUACCGGUGCGGGACUGUAAAAUGUAGGUGAAACAAUGCCACUACACUGACGCACACAGCUGUAGCGAGGCAUUCCGUACGUAUAUAGGAAGCGCAAUCCGUUGUUUUUUGGAUUUCAAACGAAUUCAUCAGAUUCCGAAUGUACAGGGAACGCAAUCGGGAACUCGUACGUUCGAUGAAGGCGUUGCUCCAAUGUCGUGGGAUACCGUUUGCUAGAAAACGCUACAGACGGUGUGAGAAAUUGACCCAAAAGUUAAUAAAGUUUGAUUUUGACCAUGUUGGAUGGUGUUUAACUCCACAGCUACCACCAUCUCUGAUAAGCGCUCACGAGUGACUCACAAGCUAGUCCAUCCUCAAUUCUUCCCAAUUUCCAGGUCUUCCGGGAUGAUGGGCUGGUUUUCGGUGGGAAGAAAGAACGGAAGCUAUAAUUGUGGUGUAACUGUACCGGUUUCGCAACCUCCGAGCUCCAAAGAUCCGUCCGUCAGCUGGUUUUCCGGUUGGGUUCUCAUACAACGAAAAGGGAAGGAAAACGCUUGAACGCAAUCCAUCCGAAGCAUCGAAACCAAGCCACCUUCACCAGGUUGGGGAAGGUCCGCGUUCGGUACGGGAACCGUUCUACACCGAACGCGAGCAUGUUGGUGCGUAAUUUUAAAGCAUAAUUAUCAUAUUAUGAUCCAACUGCCGUUGGGCGUAUGUUGCUUUCGAUGGGUGGGUGCAAAGCAGAAAAAAAACUGGGACUCAUCCAACUAGAACACACCAGGCCAGGGAAGGUACCGCUAAUCAGAUGAGCAUACACGCCGGUGGAUUGUUGCAACGGUUUUGUAAGAAAUAGGGAAAAGGUGGAGAUAAAACUAAGACGUGUACGCCUGGAUGGCUCACACUCUCCAAUAUAUCCUAAUAAUUGUACUUCGAUAAGGUGGAAACAAAUGUUACGGUAAUGAUCGGUAUCGUACAAGAUCGUUCGAAAAACACAGUGUGUUUGAUUGCUAGAAUAGCCUAUUCCGAUAUUCAAUAAAAAGCUUCAAAUGGUGUUAUCGAACAAAACCACAGAAGAAACUACCAUCAUAAUGUUUAGAUACGUAAAAACGUCACGAGCCACAGUGGUGGUCGUGUACUAAGCACGCAACUGUGCUCGUGUGUUGCAUUUAAAAUGCAGUUUCAUUCAGACGUUGUGCAAAUCGGUGACCUUGGUGAAGUUGGAUAUCAGACACCCAGACAGAGAAGAUGUUAAGAAGACAUGUGAUUGUAUUCCAAUGUCUUAAUGAUGAAAUGAGAUAAAAUUCUAUUUUUUUGUUACUUUACACACCAAUUAAAGUAUCUUUAAUCGUAAAAAUGCACUCAAAAGGGGUUUUUGUGUCAUGAAACACAUUUGGCGAAGAAAAGUUAAUGGAGAUCAAUAAGACAUCUCUGUAGAAGGAUGCAAUCCAUACUCAAAUCAAGUAAUGAUUUGAAAAAAAACUUACAAAAAUUCUUAAAAUGCAACUGCGAGAUGCAUUGUCGAAUGGUUUGAAGUUCUAUUGAACGAUAACGAACACCAAAGCCGGUUCUCUUCGUAAACAUAUAAAAACGAUACUUCCAGGUUGGUGUUGGUGGACACAAAACCUUCAUCGUUUAAACAAGCGACCUGCAUUGUAUAAUUCACCUGACAAUACUUGAACUUGGAAGCUCUUUUGCUUUGACAGAUCAAUUCUCUUCCUGCAAUUAAGUUUUACAAAAGAUCUUGCGAUGCUUGCGAGGUUACGACAGCAAAAACGAAUGCAUGUGCGCGAACUCCCAUGCGCAACACUACGAAGAACAAACAGAACACCUUCGUCAGGGUUUCUCUUUUGAGUAAGAAAUGCGCGUAGAAUGCAGUUUUCUGUUGCACAAUACAUCGCACCGCAUCUCGUAGAAUUGCAAUUGCGGAAUUGCAUGUGUGUGAGUCUAUCUCAAUUGUAGAUAGUAAGCACACAUUUGUACACCGGGUAAUAGCUUGGACAUCACUGGAUGUACUUAUGAGACAUAAAACUGGGCAAUAGAAGACGAUAAGUAUUAGAUAAAAAAACCCAUGAUGUUUACGAUGACGUUUAGACGAUGAUGAUGAUGAUGAUGAACGUAAUGUAAGGAUUAAAUUUCGGGCAACUAUUCAAUAGAAUUCCGGUGGUAUGCUUUCUUGCUUGUUGAGUUUUGGGGUACGUGUCAGAGGUGCAUUUACAUCGAGCUAUUCCAUUUGAGGUAUUUGUAAAUGCACUAUCUGGUACGACAUUCCAGAAUCGAUAUUCGUCGUACGGGAGUGCAAGAAGAGCAGAAGCCUAACCGCAUGCAGUCGAAUGCAACAACAACAAAAAAACCUAAAAAGGGACGAAGGGUGUGUGGGUGGUUAGCGCCCGAAGCGGGUGGGUGUGAAUGUAUUUUCAACGUAAUACGCGCACUGAAUCAUCGAUGCGCGAGCUGAUUGGCGCACAUCGCGUUAUUGCGCUGCAUGUGCGUGUGCAUUUUACAGUGGUGUAAUAUAUUGUGUGUUUUGCGUUAUAAAUGUGAGGAAGGGCGAAGUAAUAUGAUGGAGCAAAAAAAAAAAAGGAACAUUCUUAUUAAGUUAUGGCUAGUUGACAGCAGCAGUAAAAACAGCAUCAACGCAGCAACGAGCAAAACAGUAGUUCAACACUUCGAUACAAAACAGCGUGCGAAACGUUUAUAUGCAGUUUGAUCUUAAUAAAUUCUAUCACCUUUAAUUUCUUUGGUUCAUUUUUUUUUAUUCUAGUAAAAUAAAAAAAAAACAAAAAUAUGAUCCCUGUU